CCUUGCGUGCAGCACAGAAAUUCAGCUGCUCGUGCUUUGUGAGGGCAGGCCCAGGGGCUAUUGCUGUGCCUAUCAGUAUGUGAGGG